ensembl:lncRNA
CAGAGACCAUGUGUCUGUGGUGGCUGCAGUCACCAGGCCAGGUGAACUCCUCCAAGCAGAGCUCAGCAGCCCACUUCCUGGCUCAAAAGAGGUGGGCUUUGGGAUUUGUCCACAGUUCAUUGUUUUCGGGGAAGGGCCCCAAAUGCUGAGAAUCUUAAUAAGCUCCUUCUGGGGAGCUCGCUCCUCUGUCCUCCCACCUUCCUGAGUACUCACAUAUCUAGAGCAACUGCAGCCACACAGUAAGGAGCACAGACACAGGAGCCAGAGCCCUGGGUUCGAAUCCCAGCUCCACCACUCAUUAGCUGUCUCACCCUGGGGCAAGGUCAGGUCCUCUGCACAUCAGUCUCAUCUAUAGGAUGGGGUAAUAACACCUGCCUUAGGGCUGUCAUUGCCUUCACACAAGCUAAUUGAUGAGAACAAAGGUCUCUCAUGUUGCAAUAGUUCGCUCAGCUUUAGUUAGUGAUGACCAUUCUUCCUGAACACACCCUGAUCAUCCCCUGGGCAGCCUCCUCACUCCACUCCCAUCCAUCCUUCCUUCCUCCCUUCCUUUUUUUUUUUUUUCCUGAGACGGAGUCUCACUCUGUAGCCCAGGCUAGCGUGCAAUGGCACAAUCUCAGCUCACUGCAACCUCUGCCUCCUGGGUUCAAGUGAAUCUCCUUCCUCAGCCUCCCGAAUAGCUGGGAUUACAGGUGCCCACCACCUUGCCUGGCUAAUUUUUCUAUUUUUAGUAGAGAUGUGGCUUCGCCAUGUUGGCCAGGCUGGUCUCAAACUCCUGACCUCAGGUGAUCCACCCACCUCGGCCUCCCAAAGUGCUGGGAUUACAGGCAUGAGCCACCGUGCCUGGCCUACAAAUCCUUUUAAAACCUGGCUCCCUUGGUCUGUUUCAAGAAGCCUGCCAACCUCAGACCCUCCUGCCCCUGCCUCUCCUGCUGCCCCACGUAACUGUUCCUUAGCAGGUUUGUGUAGUUAAGAGUGCUGCGAACUGCCUUGCAGGUGUGUGGAUCCACCUGGGCACUGUCUCCGAGCACAGCCCCUCCUCCAGUUCACUGUGCCAAGCCAGAAACCUGGGUGCACCCUGACCCCUCCUGCUCUGCACCUGCUGUCUGCUUUCAGUCCCAGGUUGACCUGGUCUCCUUGAUCUCUGCUCCUCCUGCUUUUCCCCGUGCCCCACAGUGACCCUGGCCUGCUCCUCUGUCACAGGAUCAUUGCAGCAGCACUCUUCAUGCUCCUGGUCACUUCCUCCACAGCCCCAGAGUCAUCUCAUAACAAGUCAACCUGCCUUAACAGUUUCCACGUCACACAAACAGGUAAACCCUCCAAGAAGAAGUGCAUUUAGUAGGCAAAUAUAUGGAAAAAUGUUCACCCUCACUGGUAAUCAAAGAUAUACAAAUUAGAACAGGGUGGUAUGUUUUGCCUAAAAAAUGAGCACUUUAAAAAAAAGACAUAAUGGGGCUGGGAGGGGCUUGUGCAUGUAAUCCCAGUGUUUUGGGAGGUCAAGGCAGGAGAAUUGCUUGAGGCCAGGAGUUCGAGAUCAGCCUGGGCAGCAGAGCAAGACCCUGCCUCUGCAAAAAAUUAAAAAAUUAGCCAGGGUUGGGCGCAGUGGCUCAUGCCUGUAAUCCCAGCACCUAAGGAGGCCAAGCGAGUGGAUCACGAGGUCAAGCAAUCGAGACCAUCCUGGCCAACAUGGGGAAACCCUGUCCCUACUAAAAAUACAAAAAUUAACUGGCCGUGGUGGCGCGCAUCUGUAGUCCCACCUACUCGGGUGGCUGAGGCAGGAGAAUCACUUGAACUUGGGAGGCGGAGGUUGCAGUGAACUGAGAUUGCGCCACUGCAGUCCAGCCUGGCGACAGAGCAAGACCCUGUUUCAAAAAAAAAAAAAAAAAA